GGUCACAUCUCAUUUAAAAAUACGGGGAGUAGUCCCUGGCCUGUUACCUAAAGGAGCCCAUCAUGGCACUUAGCGUUGAAGAUAAAGCCCAGAUCGUAACUGAAUACCAGCAAGCUGUU
rfam:Pseudomonadales bacterium RIFCSPLOWO2_12_59_9 rifcsplowo2_12_sub10_scaffold_658, whole genome shotgun sequence.